rnacentral:rRNA from 1 species
UGGGGAAUAUUGGACAAUGGGCGAAAGCCUGAUCCAGCCACGCCGCGUGAGUGAUGAAGGCCUUCGGGUCGUAAAGCUCUGUGGAGAGAGACGAACCGCUGGAGAUUAAGAGUCACCAGCAUGACGGUAUCUUUUUAGCAAGCACCGGCUAACUUCGUGCCAGCAGCCGCGGUAAUACGAAGGGUGCAAACGUUGCUCGGAAUUAUUGGGCGUAAAGCGCACGUAGGCGGCAACUCAAGUCGGAUGUGAAAGCCCUUGGCUCAACCAAGGAAGUGCAUCCGAAACUGAGUUGCUUGAGUACUUAAGAGGAUCGCGGAAUUCCCGGUGUAGAGGUGAAAUUCGUAGAUAUCGGGAGGAACACCAGUGGCGAAGGCGGCGAUCUGGGAAGAUACUGACGCUG